rnacentral:misc_RNA from 1 species
GAUGAAGAACGCAGCGAAAUGCGAUAAGUAAUGCGAAUUGCAGAAUUUCCGUGAGUCAUCGAAUCUUUGAACGCACAUUGCGCCCACUGGUAUUCCGGUGGGCAUGCCUGUUCGAGCAUCAUUAUCCUCCCUCAAACCCCGGGUUUGGUGUUGGACCCAAGUUGUGUGAACAACUGGUCUCAAAGACAAUGACGGCGUCCGUGGGACCCUCGGUGCAACGAGCUUUUAGGAGCACGCAUCGAGUUGCAAGGACCUUCCGGGCCGGUCUCCUUUACCAUUUUACAAGGUUGACCUCGGAUCAGGUAGGAAUACCCGCUGAACUUAAGCAUAUCAAUAAGCGGAGGA